GUUGCACACGCACUGACAUGCAUGCACAGGGGUUGCACGCACUGACAUGCAUGCACAGAGGAUGCACACACACUGACAUGCAUGCAGAAUUGUUGCACACGCACUGACAUGCAUGCACAGGGGCUGCAGAUGCACUGACAUGUAUGCACAGAGGAUGCACACACACUGACAUGCAUGCAGAAUUGUUGCACACACACUGACAUGCAUGCACAGGGGUUGCACACACUUACAUGCAUGCACAGGAGUCGCAUACACUGACAUGCAUGCACAGGGGCUGCAGACGCCCUGGGGUUGCAGACGUGCGCUGUCACACACAGGUGUGCGUGCCCCAAGGCUGCUUGCACACCUCUGCAAUCACGCACGCCAAGGUCCGUCGCACACGGAGAGAAGUGUGUCGGUGACGUGCACAGACGCAUGCGAAUGCACACCCGGACCCGCACACGGGCACGCGCAUUCCCACGCCCAGGCUGCGGGUGCUCCUCGGCCCCGCCGCCCUCACCCCAGGGGGCCCAUGUCACCUGGCCGGUGUUCAUCCUCUUUGUCCCCAAAGCCGCUUAGUGCGGAUCAGCAGCACGGAGGCAUCCGCGCAUGUGCACGCUGCACCCAGCCCUGCGCACACAAGCGCUCACACGUGCACCCUUGCAAAUGCAUAAACGAGCAUGUGCAGCCGUGCCCACCCCCAUAUUGCACACGCCGAAAGGGGCGCGCACCCCUCUGCCCCGCCGCCGCACACCUGGGGAAGCGCUCGUGUCGCACACGCAGCGUGCUGGGGCCCGUGUGUGUGCGCAUGGGGAAUCCCAGGAACGUGCAGCCAGGGGCCGUGGUCACACACGUGCUUGCAAAUUCACACACUGCAGAAGUGUGUCCGCGUGGCAGUGCGGCGUGCGGGUGUGCCGGCAGCUCAGCCGUGCGGCAGCGCAGGGCUGCAGCACUGCAGGCAGUGUGGGGGCAGAGGAGGCAGCGCACCGCUGCGGUAGCACAGUGUAGCUGUCCAGCAGUGCAGUGUCGCCAUGCACCGGUGCACUGGUGCAGUGUAGCCGUGCAGUGUAGCGGGUUGAUGCUGCACUGCAGCCAUGCCAAGCAGCCAGUGCAGUGUGGUUGUGCAGUGCAGCUGAUGCAGCGUGGCUGGUGCAGUGUGGCUGGUGCAGCAUGGCCAGUGCCGUGCAGCCAGUGCAGUGUGGCUGGUGCAGUGCAGCCAGUGCAGCAGAGCCGGUGCCAUGUGGCCAGCACAGCACAGCCGGUACAGCGUGGCUGGUGCCGUGCAGUUGGUGCAGUGUGGCCGUUGCUGUGCGGCUGUUGCCACACAGCUGUUGCAGCACAGCCGGUGCCAUGCGCCUGGUGCAGUGCAGCUGGUGCCGUGCAACCAGUGCAGUGAGGCCGGUGCCGUGCAGCCGGUGCAGCAUGGCCAGUGCAGCGCAGCCAGUGCCAUGUGGCUGUUACCGUGCAGCCAUUGCCAUGCAGCUGGUGCAGGACAGCUGGUGCAGCAUGGCUGGUGCCGUGAAACCAGUGCAGCGCAGCCAGUGCUGUGUGGUCGGUGCAGUGUGGCCAGGGCAGAGCGGCCAGCGCAGUGCAGUGGGUGCAGAGUGGCCAGUGUAGCGCAGCGGGUGCAGUGCACUGGGUGCAGUGUGGCCAGUGCAGCGCAGUGGAUGCAGCACAGUGGGUGCAGCGCAGUGGAUGCAGUGUGGUGGGUGCAGCUCAGGGGGUGCAGCACAGUGGAUGCAGUGUGGCGGGUGCAGUGUG
ensembl:lncRNA